rnacentral:rRNA from 3 species
UGGAUUUGUGCCUUCGGGAACUGUGAGACAGGUGCUGCAUGGCUGUCGUCAGCUCGUGUUGUGAAAUGUUGGGUUAAGUCCCGCAACGAGCGCAACCCUUAUCCUUUGUUGCCAGCGAUUAGGUCGGGAACUCAAAGGAGACUGCCAGUGAUAAACUGGAGGAAGGUGGGGAUGACGUCAAGUCAUCAUGGCCCUUACGACCAGGGCUACACACGUGCUACAAUGGCGCAUACAAAGAGAAGCGACCUCGCGAGAGCAAGCGGACCUCAUAAAGUGCGUCGUAGUCCGGAUUGGAGUCUGCAACUCGACUCCAUGAAGUCGGAAUCGCUAGUAAUCGUGGAUCAGAAUGCCACGGUGAAUACGUUCCCGGGCCUUGUACACACCGCCCGUCACACCAUGGGAGUGGGUUGCAAAAGAAGUAGGUAGCUUAACCUUCGGGAGGGCGCUUACCACUUUGUGAUUCAUGACUGGGGUGAAGUCGUAACAAGGUAACCGUAGGGGAACCUGCGGUUGGA